ACUCCUACGGGAGGCAGCAGUGGGGAAUAUUGGACAAUGGGGGCAACCCUGAUCCAGCCAUGCCGCGUGAGUGAAGAAGGCCUUCGGGUUGUAAAGCUCUUUCGGACGGGACGAAAAGGUUAUGGUGAAUAGCCAUGACUAAUGACGGUACCGUAAUAAGAAGCACCGGCUAACUACGUGCCAGCAGCCGCGGUAAUACGUAGGGUGCGAGCGUUAAUCGGAAUUACUGGGCGUAAAGCGUGCGCAGGCGGUUCGCCAAGUCAGGUGUGAAAUCCCCGGGCUUAACCUGSGAAUUGCGCUUGAAACUAGCGGGCUUGAGUGCGGCAGAGGGGGGUGGAAUUCCACGUGUAGCAGUGAAAUGCGUAGAGAUGUGGAGGAACACCGAUGGCGAAGGCAGCCCCCUGGGUCGACACUGACGCUCAUGCACGAAAGCGUGGGGAGCAAACAGGAUUAGAUACCCUGGUAGUCCACGCYCUAAACGAUGUCGACUAGGUGUUGGGGAARGRGACUUCCUUAGUACCGCAGCUAACGCGUGAAGUCGACCGCCUGGGAGUACGGUCGCAAGAUUAAACUUCAAAUGAAUUGACGG
rnacentral:rRNA from 1 species